AGGUACUGGCCAUGACACUGGAGUUCGUAGUGUUUAGGAGACCAAAGAACAGUCACCACCCUCAGCCCAAGUUCACCUGGCCAAGGUGCACUAGAUCUAUAUUCAUGGAGUUUGGAACUCUACGCUUCAAAAAAAUCAUCCAGAUGUCAUGAGGUGAGCAACUUCCUCCAGCACAUACUCCUGCACCUUCUUAUUCUCUCUCACCUCAGACCCAAACAAUGGAGCCAUCUGACCAUGGACUGAACCUCUGUGUCUCAAAAGGCGUUCCUGGUGCCUGUGUCUCUGGAUCUACAGUAAAGGUAGACACGAAACAGAACCUCCAGCAAACCUCAAGGUCAUGCUGUGGAAAUUCACUUGAUGGACAUGUUUGACAGACCAAGAAACAGAAGAUUAAGUACAAUAAUUUAAGGUAUAAAAGUUACUACUAAAAGACCUUGAGAAGAUCACAAAACUUUCCAAAUUUCCAGAAGUAUUUGGAACCUACACACAAUGCACAUAUUUAGAACAGAGAUGAUACAUCAAAGGUAACUAAAACACACACACACAAGCACAUACAUGCACCCAGACACACACACACAAACUAUAGUGAUAAAAUUAAUGAGGAAGCUGAAAUAUCAACAACAGUAAAUGGAAUAAAAUCACAUAUUAAUUGAAAUUGAUGCUAAUAUCAAACAGACACUAUUGAUUGUAAAACUCAUUAAGCAAAUCACUAAAAAUAUUGAAAAUAAAAUUAUGGCCAAGUACAUACUUGGGAUUUGAAGAAAAAUAAAGUACAGAUAAAUUAGUGGUUUAAAAUAGUAUGGCUCCCCCAUACGACAUGUAUUAACACACUUGCCAAUGUUUCCUAUGUGUCAGGGUGAACACGAACAAAUAACAUGUAUAGAUCCAAAUAAAGAUAUUUCCCUUUACUUUUUCUCAGAAGUAAUAUCUAAUAUGAGAUUUUUACAUAUUAUUUGUGGACUUGCUUUGUAUGCAUUUACCAUAAAUAUUUACUGAUAAACAACAUAGAGAAUUGUUUUAUGUAAUUUUCUGCCUUGCAUGAUGUUGAAAACCCAAGCCACUUGGUGCCUUGGUCUGGGACUUCUAGGGAGACCUUUGUGAAUGUGACUGUAUUGAAGAUGGAGUCUUCAAAGAACCUGUCUCCUAAUGGUCUCAUUAAAUUAAAAUGAAGCUAAAUUAGAAUGAGGCUGUUAGGAUGAGCUAUAACAUAAUACGACUGGCAUCCUGACACAAAAGGAGGAGAUCAGGACCAGAGACAUACAAAGGGAAGAUCACAUGAGACACACAGAGAAGAUGGACACUUACAAGCCAAGGAAAAAGGUAUCUGAAGAAACCAACUUUGCCAGCACUCUGAUUUGAGACUUCUAGCCUCCAGAACUCUGAGAAUUUCUGUUGUUUGAGCCAGCCCAUCUGUGGUACUUUCAUGUAAGUCCUAGCAAGCUGAAACCAGAAAUGUUUUAUAUCCACUCCCCAUAUAUAAUAUGUGUUUAUCUUAUGCUUCAUAUUUUCACUUCUUCCUUUCUCCUUCACAUAUUCCCUCACAUAUUCUUCCUCCUUCAACUUGAUUUGUGCAAUUAUUUUUUGGCAUUAUAAAGACAGAUGUGAGUCAAGGGAAAAUUUUCAUGUAACAACAAAAAUGAAUAUAAAUUGAAAUUGCCAUAUUGCAAAUAUAUUAUGUUUUAUGUGCAAAAUAUAUCGGGAUUCAGAGAAGGAAUUAUUUGUUUAUAAUCCCAUAUUUGAAUGAGCUAGUUAUGGGGUACAUAGACUCGUUGGUCAAUGUCAAAUGAGGCAGGCCAUGAGCAAGAUGAGAUUUCAACACACUCCUUAAUCAUUAAAGUCUCACUCUCCUGUCUCCAUUGUUCCAUUGCAUUCCUUCAAUGAUUCAUUUUUCAAUUACGUGGAUAGGAAAAGAGAAGAUAUUCCACCAAAAACACUGUUCUUACAUCUUCAGUAUUUUCAGAGAAUGUGCCUGUCUUACCUUGUUUGUCAUUACUAAACACUAGAUCUCCCUCAGUUACAAAAAUUUUAUUUUGUAAGUAUUUUAUUGUGUCAAAAAUAUACAACCUAAAAUUUACCAUCCUACCACUUUUCAGUCUACAGUAGUAUUAAGUAUAUUGACACUGCUAAAAACACAUCUCCAGAACUCUUCCACAUUGCAAAACUGAAGCUAUGCACCUUUAACCAUACCUCUUCACCGCACCCAAACCCUGGGAACCACUGUGCUACCUUCUGUCUCUAUGAAUUCAAUUUCUCUAGGUAUUUCAUAUAAGUAGGAUCAUACAGUGUUUGACUUUUUUGUAACUGGCCCAUUUCACUUAUCAUGAUGUUCUCAACAUUCACCCAUAUUGGAGUAUAUGUCAGAAUUUCCUUUCUUUUUAAGGUCAAAUAAUAUUCCAUUGUAUGUAGAUGCUAAAUUUUAUCCAUUCAUCUGCUGAUGAACACUUGGGUUGCUCCACCUUUUGUUUCUUGUGAAUAGUGCUGCAAUGAGCAAGGAUAUCAAACUCCCUUUCUGAAACUGUCUUAGUCUCUUUUUGCAGAUAACAAAAUAUUCCAAGAUGAGUAAUUUCUAAAGAAAAGAAAUUAAUUUGUUACAGUUCUGCAAACUUAUGAGUCCAAGAUCAAGGUGGUGGGAUCUGGUGUCUUUUGAGAGCCUUCUUGCUGCAUCCUCACUUGAUGGAAAAGGUGAAAGGCAUGAGGGAUAAAUAAUGUGACAUCAUGUGGCAAAAGACAG